rnacentral:rRNA from 1 species
CAGUCGCCACGGUAAUACAGAGGGUGCGAGCGUUAAUCGGAUUUACUGGGCGUAAAGCGUGCGUAGGCGGCUUUUUAAGUCGGAUGUGAAAUCCCUGAGCUUAACUUAGGAAUUGCAUUCGAUACUGGGAAGCUAGAGUAUGGGAGAGGAUGGUAGAAUUCCAGGUGUAGCGGUGAAAUGCGUAGAGAUCAGGAGGAAUACCGAUGGCGAAGGCAGCCAUCUGGCCUAAUACUGACGCUGAGGUACGAAAGCAUGGGGAGCAAACAGGAUUAGAUACCCCUGUAGUCCCUGUCUCUUAUAC